rnacentral:rRNA from 1 species
UACGUAGGUGGCAAGCGUUGUUCGGAAUUAUUGGGCGUAAAGAGCUCGUAGGCGGUGUGUCGCGUCGGCCGUGAAAACCUGCAGCUUAACUGUGGGCUUGCGGUCGAUACGGGCAUCACUGGAGUUCGGCAGGGGAGACUGGAAUUCCUGGUGUAGCGGUGAAAUGCGCAGAUAUCAGGAGGAACACCGGUGGCGAAGGCGGGUCUCUGGGCCGAUACUGACGCUGAGGAGCGAAAGCGUGGGGAGCGAACAGG